rfam:Triticum aestivum genome assembly, contig: Triticum_aestivum_CS42_TGACv1_scaffold_528223_6DL
AUCAUACUCCCUCCGUCCGGAAUUACUUGUCGCAGAAAUGGAUAAAAAUGGAUGUAUCUAGAACGAAAAUACAUCUAGAUGCAUCCAUUUCUCCGACAAGUAUUUCCAGACGGAAGGAGGAUUAU